GACGUAGGGCGCGAGCGUUGUCCGGAUUUAUUGGGCGUAAAGAGCUCGUAGGCGGUUUAGUAAGUCGGGUGUGAAACCUCCAGGCUCAACCUGGAGCCGCCACUCGAUACUGCUAUGACUUGAGUCUGGUAGGGGACCACGGAAUUCCUGGUGUAGCGGUGAAAUGCGCAGAUAUCAGGAGGAACACCGGUGGCGAAGGCGGUGGUCUGGGCCAGUACUGACGCUGAGGAGCGAAAGCGUGGGGAGCGAACAGG
rnacentral:rRNA from 1 species